AUUGAACGCUGGCGGCAGGCUUAACACAUGCAAGUCGAGCGGGGUGAUGGUGCUUGCACUAUCACUUAGCGGCGGACGGGUGAGUAAUGCUUAGGAAUCCGCCUAUUAGUGGGGGACAACAUCUCGAAAGGGAUGCUAAUACCGCAUACGUCCUACGGGAGAAAGCAGGGGAUCUUUAUGACCUUGCGCUAAUAGAUGAGCCUAAGUCGGAUUAGCUAGUUGGUGGGGUAAAGGCCUACCAAGGCGACGAUCUGUAGCGGGUCUGAGAGGAUGAUCAGCCACACUGGGACUGAGACACGGCCCAGACUCCUACGGGAGGCAGCAGUGGGGAAUAUUGGACAAUGGGGGGAACCCUGAUCUAGCCAUGCCGCGUGUGUGAAGAAGGCCUUAUGGUUGUAAAGCACUUUAAGCGAGGAGGAGGCUCCUUUGGUUAAUACCCAGAAUGAGUGGACGUUACUCGCAGAAUAAGCACCGGCUAACUCUGUGCCAGCAGCCGCCGUAA
rnacentral:rRNA from 1 species